rnacentral:rRNA from 1 species
AGCAGCCGCGGUAAUUCCAGCUCCAAUAGCGUAUAUUAAAGUUGUUGCAGUUAAAAAGCUCGUAGUUGAAUUUCGGGAUUUGCAUAUCGGUCGUGCCUUAAGGGGUAUGAACUGGUGUAGUGAAUUUCUCACCUUCUGGAGAACCGUGAUGUCCUUAAUUGGGUGCCACGAGGAACCAGGACCUUUACUUUGAAAAAAUUAGAGUGUUUAAAGCAGGCAUUUUUGCUUGAAUACAUUAGCAUGGAAUAAUAAAAUAGGACGGCAUGAUUCUAUUUUGUUGGUUUCUAGGAUCACCGUAAUGAUUAAUAGGGAUAGUUGGGGGCAUUAGUAUUCAAUUGUCAGAGGUGAAAUUCUUGGAUUUAUUGAAGACUAACUACUGCGAAAGCAUUUGCCAAGGAUGUUUUCAUUAAUCAAGAACGAAAGUUAGGGGAUCGAAGACGAUCAGAUACCGUCGUAGUCUUAACCAUAAACUAUGCCGACUAGGAAUCAGACGAUGUUAAUUUUUUAAUGACUCGUUUUGCACCUUACG